UACGUGGGGUGCAAGCGUUGUCCGGAAUUAUUGGGCGUAAAGAGCUCGUAGGCGGUCUGUCACGUCGGCUGUGAAAACCCGGGGCUCAACCCCGGGCCUGCAGUCGAUACGGGCAGACUAGAGUGCGGUAGGGGAGACUGGAAUUCCUGGUGUAGCGGUGGAAUGCGCAGAUAUCAGGAGGACCACCGGUGGCGAAGGCGGGUCUCUGGGCCGUAACUGACGCUGAGGAACGAAAGCGUGGGGAGCGAACAGG
rnacentral:rRNA from 1 species